AUGGCUCUCCUUCUUCUUGUGAUCCUGUAUUUUGUGUCGGCGUCACCUUCGGCGACAUUGGCUGCGCCAAAGAACACGUGCAAGUUUGAACUUGCUAGUAUCGCCGUGAUCUCCUGCCAAGAGUCUGUGCAGUCUCCUACACCUUCGUGCUGCGAGGCUCUUAUUUAUGCGGUGGAUCUGGAGCCAGAGUUUGAGUUAGACAAGGGUUCGUGUUGCCUAUGCAAAUUUAUGGCUGCACGGGAUAUUCCCUUUGAUCUUCCAUCCGUGUAUCGUUCUUGUCAUGGCAAAGACUCUGACAUAGUUGCGGGGUGGCCACCAUACAUGAAAAAUUGCAAUGAUGUCUGUUAUGAGGACGAUGUCGAUGGGCAUACACCAGUCCCGCCUGCCCCUUUUGCUAAGGGCAAACAAAGCCGGAAGUCGAUAGGUUUAAGAGCCGUUGUUGCAAUAAUAAUUGGAGCCACUUUGAUUAUUGGGGUGUUACUGUGUUGUGUCUACUACAAGUGCCCGCGUGGCAAGGCACGCGAGUCUCCUGCCACUAGUGACGACGAUUCUGUGAGAGGAGGUGCUGGUGUGGAGAUGGGGGUGAUAGAGCGGAACUUGUCAUCCAGGAAUCUGCUGUAG
rnacentral:rRNA from 1 species